AUACCAGUACAGGACCCGAUGGGUACUGUGUUUGGAAUGAGUACAAUUUAAAAACCUUAAUGAGGAACAAUUGGAGGGCAAGUCUGGUGCCAGCAGCCGCGGUAAUUCCAGCUCCAAUAGUGUAUAUUAAAGUUGCUGCAGUUAAAAAGCUCGUAGUUGGAUUUCGGUUAAUAAAGAAUUUAUGGUCCACUUUUUUAGUGUGCACUAAAAUCUUUAUUUCCUUCCUUUUGAAUAUACUCCCAUAUUAUUUAUAAUUUUGGGAUCAAAGUUAUUCAAAUCUUUUACUGUGAAGAAAUUAGAGUGUUCAAAGCAGGCGUAACCUAGCCUUUGAAUAUAUUAGCAUGGGAUAAUGAAAUAGGACUUUAGUUCUACUUUCGUUGGUUUCUAGGGCUAAAGUAAUGAUUAAUAGGGAUAGUUGGGGUCACUAGUAUUUAAUUGUCAGAGGUGAAAUUCUAAGAUUUAUUAAAGACUAACUACUGCGAAAGCAUUUGACAAGGAUGUUUUCAUUAAUCAAGAACGAAAGUUGGGGGAUCGAAGAUGAUCAGAUACCGUCGUAGUCUCAACCAUAAACUAUGCCGACCAAGGAUCCGGGGGUGUUAAAUUGGAUGACUCUCCGGGCACUUAUAGAGAAAUCAUAAGUAUUUGGGCUCCGGGGGGAGUAUGGUCGCAAGGCUGAAACUUAAAGGAAUUGACGGAAGGGCACCACAAGGAGUGGAACCUGCGGUUUAAUUUGACCCAACACGGGGAAACUUACCAGGUCCAGACACAGUGAGGAUUGACAGAUUGAGAGUUCUUUCUUGAUUCAGUGAGUGGUGGUGCAUGGCCGUUUCUAGUUGGUGGAGUGAUUUGUCUGGUUAAUUCCGUUAACGAACGAGACCUUAACCUAUUAAAUAGUUAAUCUUGAACAUGACUUUUUUAAGUCAUUUGUUUAAUUAACUUCUUAUAGGGACUCUUCACUGAGAGAGUGGAUGGAAGUUUGAGGCAAAAACAGGUCUGUGAUGCCCUUAGAUGUUCUGGGCCACACGCGCGUUACACUGACAUAUUCAACGAGUUUUAUCCUGGCCCGAUGGGGUUGGGUAAUCUUUUAAAUGUAUGUCGUGCUGGGGAUAGAUCAUUGUAAUUAUUGGUCUUGAACGAGGAAUUCCUAGUAAGUGCGAGUCAUCAACUCGCGCUGAUUACGUCCCUGCCCUUUGUACACACCGCCCGUCGCUCCUACCGAUUGAAUGGUCCGGCGAGAACUCAGAAUGGAUAUGUGUUUGUACACUCCGUGUUUCAACCUUAU
rnacentral:rRNA from 1 species